GCUAUUGAGGCCUAAACGCACACACUAUUUUUGCUAAAAUUUGUUUCUCUAAAAACUACAUGAAAUGUUAGUGAAUUCUUAAUCUAGUGUUAGUCAAAGUUAAAACCUUAAUACCUAUCAUUCGUUAGUACGGUAAGAGUGAACUAUUAUGAAUUGAACAUGCAAAUUUCUUACUUGGUUCUUACUUACUAAAUUAGCUUAACCUAUACGAACCACUCCCGAUUGAUUACGGAUUAAAUUGAUCCCUAAUUACACGAAUAAUUAGUUGGUAUCCCAUGCAACAUUUACCGUCAGAGCAUCAAUUGCCGUCUGACUCCGAGCGAAUAGUAAACGAAUUUUAUAAUCCACCUUGGAUUCGAAUAAACGGUUUAUAAAAACGGAAUCUGCUCUUUGUUGUAUGGUGAGUCAACACAAGCAUU